rnacentral:rRNA from 1 species
AACGAACGCUGGCGGCAGGCCUAACACAUGCAAGUCGAACGCCGUAGCAAUACGGAGUGGCAGACGGGUGAGUAACGCGUGGGAACCUUCCCAAUGGUACGGAAUAACUCAGGGAAACUCGAGGUAAUACCGUAUACGCCCGCAAGGGGAAAGAUUCAUCGCCAUUGGAUGGGCCCGCGUAGGAUUAGCUAGUUGGUGAGGUAAUGGCUCACCAAGGCGACGAUCCUUAGCUGGUUUGAGAGAAUGACCAGCCACACUGGGACUGAGACACGGCCCAGACUCCUACGGGAGGCAGCAGUGGGGAAUAUUGGACAAUGGGCGCAAGCCUGAUCCAGCCAUGCCGCGUGAGUGACGAAGGCCUUAGGGUUGUAAAGCUCUUUUGGCGGGGACGAUAAUGACGGUACCCGCAGAAUAAGCCCCGGCUAACUUCGUG